CCCAUCAAAAUACCAAUCCAAUUCUUUAAAGAGUUAGACAGAACAAUUUGCAAAUUCAUCUGGAAUAACAAAAAACCCAGGAGAACUAAAACUAUCCUCAACAAUAAAAGGACUUCAGGGGGAAUCACUAUCCCUGAACUCAAGCAGUAUUACAGAGCAAUAGUCAUAAAAACUGCCUGGUAUUGGUACAGAGACAGACAGAUAGACCAAUGGAAUAGAAUUGAAGACCCAGAAAUGACCCCACACACCUAUGGUUACUUGAUUUUUGAUAAAGGAGCCAAAACCAUCCAAUGGACAAAAGUUAGCAGUUUCAGCAAGUGGUGUUGGUUCAACUGGAGGUCAACAUGUAGAGGAAUGCAGAUCGAUCCAUGCUUAUCACCCUGUACAAAGCUUAAGUCCAAGUGGAUCAAGGACCUCCACAUCAAACCAGAUACACUCAAACUAAAAGAAGAAAAAGUGGGGAAGCAUCUCAAACACAUGGGCACUGGAGAAAAUUUCCUGAACAAAACACCAAUGGCUUAUGCUCUAAGAUCAAGAAUCAACAAAUGGCAUCUCAUAAAACUGCAAAACUUCUGUAAGGCAAAGGACAAUGUGGUUAGGACAAAUGGCAACCAACAGAUUGGGAAAAGAUCUUUAACAAUCGUGCAACAGAUACAGGGCUUAUAUCCAUAAUAUACAAAGAAUGCAUGAAGUUACACCGCAGGGAGGCAAAUAACACUAUUAAAAAAUGGGGUUCAGAGCUAAACAAAGAAUUCACAGCUGAGCAAUGCCGAAUGGGUGAGAAACACUUAAAGAAAUGUUCAGGGGUUGGGGAUUUAGCUCAGUGGUAGAGUGCUUGCCUAACAAGCGCAAGGCCCUGGGUUCGGUCCCCAGCUCCGAAAAAAAGAAAAAAGAAAAAAAAAAGAAAUGUUCAACUUCUUUAGU
rnacentral:lncRNA from 1 species